UACGGAGGGGGCUAGCGUUGUUCGGAAUUACUGGGCGUAAAGCGCACGUAGGCGGCUUUGUAAGUUAGAGGUGAAAGCCCGGGGCUCAACUCCGGAAUUGCCUUUAAGACUGCAUCGCUAGAAUUGUGGAGAGGUAAGUGGAAUUCCGAGUGUAGAGGUGAAAUUCGUAGAUAUUCGGAAGAACACCAGUGGCGAAGGCGGCUCACUGGACCGUUGUUGACGCUGAGGUGCGAAAGCG
rnacentral:rRNA from 1 species